rnacentral:rRNA from 1 species
AUGCAUGCAUUCUUCGCUUGCCGCCAGCGUUCACACGGAAUCAGCGGGCGCGUCAUCUCUCUCUCUCAAUCAGUAACGUUGAUCAAGGCGAAGCUCGAGGAGGCCAAUCCAUGGAUCGCGUCCAUCAACAGAUUGUCCCCCAAGGACGCGCUCUAUUCUGACGGGAAGACGCCGGCGAACCCAUGGAGGUUGUGCACGGUGCAGCAAGUGGGGGCGGUGAAGUGCCUGGCGCGCAUCAUCCCGGUGUGGUCAUCGGGGAUCGUCUACUUCGUGGUGCUCACCCAGCUUGGCACCUACGUCGUGCUCCAGGCAGCGCAGACCGACCGCCGGAUCAGCAACGCCAGCAGCUUCCAGAUCCCGCAGGGCUCCUUCAUCGUCUUCUCGAUGCUCUCCCUCACGCCCUGGAUACCCGUGUACGACCGGGUGGUGGUGCCGGCGCUCCGCCGCUUCACCAAGCACGAGGGCGGCAUCACCCUGCUCCAGCGCAUCGGCGUCGGCCUGGCGCUCUCCGUCGCGACGAUGCUGGUGUCGUGCUUCUGGCUGGUGCCGCAGCUGCUGCUGGCGGGCUUGUCCGAGGCGUUCGGCGGCAUCGGGCAGCUCGAGUUCUUCUACCGGCAGUUCCAGGAGAACAUGCGGAGCGUAGCCGGGGCGAUCUAUUGCCUGGGGUUCGCCCUGGCGAGCUACGCGAGCGGGGUCAUGGUGACGGUGGUGCACCGGGCGACGAGGGGGCGGGACGGGCGGCCGGACUGGCUGGCGCAGGACCUGGACCAGGGGAGAAUCGACCUGUUCUACCUCGUCACCGCCGCCAUCGCCGCCGUCAACCUCAUAUACUUCGUUGUCUGCGCGCGGUGGUACAGGUUCAAGGAGUCCAACGGCAACGACGACGGCUCCCACGCCAGCGCUGACGUCGAGCUCGUCCCAAAAAUGUCCGCGAGUGCGGCGCCCGUUUAG